AUUGAACGCUGGCGGCAGGCUUAACACAUGCAAGUCGAGCGAGCGGCGGACGGGUGAGUAAUGUCUGGGAAACUGCCUGAUGGAGGGGGAUAACUACUGGAAACGGUAGCUAAUACCGCAUACCAUCAGAUGUGCCCAGAUGGGAUUAGCUAGUAGGGGGGGUAAUGGCUCACCUAGGCGACGAUCCCUCGCUGGUCUGAGAGGAUGACCAGCAACACUGGAGCGGAGAAACGGACCAGACUCCUAAGGGAGGCAGGAGUGGGGAUUAUUGCACAAUGGGCGGAAGGCUGAUGUAGCCAAGCCGCGUGUGUGAAGAAGGCCUUCGGGUUGUAAAGCACGUUCAGCGAGGAGGCGUUACCCGCAGAAGAAGCACCGGCUAACUCCGUGCCAGCAGCCGCGGUAAUAC
rnacentral:rRNA from 1 species